UACGUAGGGUGCGAGCGUUGUCCGGAAUUAUUGGGCGUAAAGCGCGUGUAGGCGGCUUUGCAAGUCGGGUGUGAAAUCCCUCGGCUCAACCGAGGAAGUGCGCCCGAAACUGCAGAGCUUGAGUACCGGAGAGGAUGGCGGAAUUCCUGGUGUAGCGGUGAAAUGCGCAGAUAUCAGGAGGAACACCGGUGGCGAAGGCGGAUCUCUGGGCCUUACCUGACGCUCAGGUGCGAAAGCUAGGGGAGCGAACAGG
rnacentral:rRNA from 1 species